GUAGGGAAUAUUGCGCAAUGGGGGAAACCCUGACGCAGCGACGCCGCGUGAGUGAUGAAGGCCUUCGGGUCGUAAAGCUCUGUUGCAGGGGAAUAAAAAAAUGAAGGUACCCUGUGAGGAAGGAUCGGCUAACUUCGUGCCAGCAGCCGCGGUAAGACGAGGGAUCCUAGCGUUGCUCGGAAUCAUUGGGCGUAAAGAGGGCGUAGGUGGCUUGGUAAGUCAGGUGUGAAAGCCCAGGGCUCAACCCUGGAAGUGCAUUUGAUACUGCUGAGCUUGAGUGUCGGAGAGGUUACCGGAAUACCUGGUGUAGUGGUGAAAUACGUAGAUAUCAGGUGGAACACCGGAGGCGAAGGCGGGUAACUGGACGAACACUGACACUGAGGCCCGAAAGCGUGGGGAUCAAACAGGAUUAGAUACCAGUGUAGUCC
rnacentral:rRNA from 1 species